UAAUAGCCGAAAGUGGAAACAAUUCAAAUGUCCAACAACUGAUGGAAAGAUGAAGUGUGGUAUAUCCAUAUAAUGGAAUAAUACGCAGACAUAAAGUGGAAUGAUUGGCACAUGUUUACAACAUGGAUGAACCUUGACAACGCUAUGUUAAGUUAAAGAAGCCAGACACAAAAGGAUUGUCAACACUCUGGCAAUUGAAAAAUAACAGGAAUAACUGUUUUAUGACAAAUGGACCUGAACCCUAUGAAAUGAAUUUGCAAGCACUGGCACAGUUCACAUAUGCUACAAACAACCAUCUUCAGACAGUGUAGCCAACCAACUGUGCCAGACUUAAACUGAUGACCCUGAGGUGAAUCGUUCUAUUGUCACAACAUUUCUGGUCCUCAAGGCUCUCCAUGCUCUUAAACUCUUUUCUUUAAUAUUCUACGGUGUGUUUAUUUUCACGGCUAUAAAGUCAUACUCAGAUUUGCAAUGAUAUUUACUACCAUAUUUCAGAGUGUUUUAACUGAUGUUAGUUCAAAUCAAUUCUGGAGAAACUUUCCAGCCAAGGGAAUUGCAAGCUAGCUGGUUGACAUUGGAGGUCAAAUACUCCAGGGUAUGGGUCUCAAAUCACUUAAUUCUUCACAGCAAAUUAGAAACGGGACUCCAGCUGGUGCUAAAGAAUAAGACAGACUUGCUGUAUAAGGACAAGCUGCUGCUUGGAUUUCGAGUCUUUAUAUUCCUAAAAUAAAAAAUGUGAGACCCAAUUCCCACCCCCCAAUCUCAUUCUUUCAGAGUAAAAGAUUUCUUAACAACAGCAAAAAUCUGGCCACCUGAUUUCAAUACAUAAAUCUUGCCAAGGUAUAAAAAUAAAAUAUGAUUUAAACAGCAA
rnacentral:lncRNA from 1 species